AUGAAGCUAUGGGAGAGAGUCAUUGAGCACCGAUUAAGAAGAAUGACAAGCGUGACCAAAAAUCAGUUUGGUUUCAUGCCUGGGAGGUCGACCAUGGAAGCCAUUUUCUUGGUACGACAACUUAUGGAGAGAUAUAGGGAGCAAAAGAAGGACUUGCAUAUGGUGUUCAUUGACUUGGGGAAGGCCUAUGAUAAGAUACCGCGGAAUGUCAUGUGGUGGGCCUUGGAGAAACACAAAGUCCCAGCAAAGUACAUUACCCUCAUUAAGGACAUGUACGAUAAUGUUGUGACAAGUGUUCGAACAGGUGAUGUCGACACUAAUGACUUCCCGAUUAAGAUAGGACUGCAUCAGGGGUCAGCUUUGAGCCCUUAUCUUUUUGCAUUGGUGAUGGAUGAGGUCACAAGGGAUAUACAAGGAGAUAUCCCAUGGUGUAUGCUCUUUGCGGAUGAUGUGGUGCUAGUUGACGAUAGUCGGACGGGGGUAAAUAGGAAGUUAGAGUUAUGGAGACAAACCUUGGAAUCGAAAGGGUUUAGGCUUAGUAGAACUAAAACUGAGUACGUGAUGUGCGGUUUCAGUACUACUAGGUGUGAGGAGGAGGAGGUUAGCCUUGCUGGCCAGGUGGUACCCCAGAAGGACACCUUUCGGUAUUUGGGGUCAAUGCUGCAGGAGGAUGGGGGUAUUGGUGAAGAUGUGAACCAUGGAAUCAAAGCCGGAUGGAUGAAGUGGCGCCAAGCUUCUGGCAUUCUCUAUGACAAGAGAGUGCCACAAAAGCUAAAAGGCAAGUUCUACAGGACGGUGGUUCGACCCGCAAUGUUGUAUGGCGCUGAGUGUUGGCCGACUAAAAGGCGACAUGUUCAAUAG
rnacentral:rRNA from 1 species